rnacentral:rRNA from 1 species
AGCGAACGCUGGCGGCAGGCCUAACACAUGCAAGUCGAACGAACUCUUCGGAGUUAGUGGCGGACGGGUGAGUAACACGUGGGAACGUGCCUUUAGGUUCGGAAUAACUCAGGGAAACUUGUGCUAAUACCGAAUGUGCCCUUCGGGGGAAAGAUUUAUCGCCUUUAGAGCGGCCCGCGUCUGAUUAGCUAGUUGGUGAGGUAACGGCUCACCAAGGCGACGAUCAGUAGCUGGUCUGAGAGGAUGGCCAGCCACACUGGGACUGAGACACGGCCCAGACUCCUACGGGAGGCAGCAGUGGGGAAUCUUGCGCAAUGGGCGAAAGCCUGACGCAGCCAUGCCGCGUGAAUGAUGAAGGUCUUAGGAUUGUAAAAUUCUUUCACCGGGGACGAUAAUGACGGUACCCGGAGAAGAAGCCCCGGCUAACUUCGUGCCAGCCGCCGCCGUAA